CUAGCUGCUGGCGUUCUGUGCGCUCGGGGCCGUUCCUCGCAGCCAGCCUUGGCGACCCCAGGCCGUGGUCCGGCGCGUGACCUGUGGGAAGUGGGAUUUUAGAGUACUGUUGUCGGAAGACUUACAAGAGGACCGUCCUGGGCCUGUUGGGGGCGAGAACGCCGGUGUUGUGGAACGGACCUGGGCAGAGCCUAGCGUGGCCCCGUUCACAGCCGAGCGGGGGCACCUGGGUGGCCCAGACAAUACUGCAGUGGAAAUACCUGCACAAGCUUCAUAACACACAGGAUGAAUCUCUCCAUUGUCGGUCAGUUCCUGAAACCCAGCUGCUUCUGGCAUUUUAUUUUUCACCUCCAUUUUUUAAAACUUCUAAGCAUGAGCCUUAAC